rnacentral:rRNA from 1 species
UACGUAGGGUGCGAGCGUUAAUCGGAAUUACUGGGCUUAAAGGGUGCGUAGGCGGUGGAGUAAGUCGGAUGUGAAAUACCAUAGCUUAACUAUGGAACUGCACUCGAUACUACUUUGCUAGAGUAAGACAGAGGUGAGUGGAACUGAGGGUGGAGCGGUGAAAUGCGUUGAUAUCCUCAGGAACACCGGUGGCGAAGGCGACUCACUGGGUCUUUACUGACGCUGAUGCACGAAAGCUAGGGUAGCAAACGGG